rnacentral:rRNA from 1 species
GAUGAACGCUGGCGGCGUGCCUAAUACAUGCAAGUCGAGCGAACAGACGAGGAGCUUGCUCCUCUGACGUUAGCGGCGGACGGGUGAGUAACACGUGGAUAACCUACCUAUAAGACGGGGAUAACUUCGGGAAACCGGAGCUAAUACCGGAUAAUAUAUUGAACCGCAGGGUUCAAUAGUGAAAGACGGUUUUGCUGUCACUUAUAGAUGGAUCCGCGCCGCAUUAGCUAGUUGGUAAGGUAACGGCUUAUCAAGGCAACGAUGCGUAGCCGACCUGAGAGGGUGGUCGGCCACCCUGGAACUGGGACACGGUCCAGGCUCCUACGGGAGGCAGCAGUAGGGAAUCGUCCGCAGUGGGCGAGAGCUUGACGGAGCAACGCCGCGUGAGUGGUGAAGGUCUUCGGAUCGUAAAGCUCUGUUAUUAGGGAAGAACAAAUGUGUAAGUAACUAUGCACGUCUUGACGGUACCUAAUCAGAAAGCCACGGCUAACUACGUG